rnacentral:rRNA from 1 species
AGUGAACGCUGGCGGUAGGCCUAACACAUGCAAGUCGAACGGCAGCACAGUAAGAGCUUGCUCUUACGGGUGGCGAGUGGCGGACGGGUGAGGUAUACAUCGGAAUCUACUUUUUCGUGGGGGAUAACGUAGGGAAACUUACGCUAAUACCGCAUACGACCUACGGGUGAAAGCAGGGGAUCUUCGGACCUUGCGCGAUUGAAUGAGCCGAUGUCGGAUUAGCUAGUUGGCGGGGUAAAGGCCCACCAAGGCGACGAUCCGUAGCUGGUCUGAGAGGAUGAGCAGGCACACGGGAACUGGAACACGGUCCAGACGCCUACGGGAGGCAGCAGUGGGGAAUAUUGGACAGUGGGCGGAAGCCUGAUCCAGCCAUACCGCGUGGGUGAAGAAGGCCUUCGGGUUGUAAAGCCCUUUUGUUGGGAAAGAAAAGCAGCAGGUUAAUACCCCGCUGUUCUGACGGUACCCAAAGAAUAAGCACCGGCUAACUUCGUG